rnacentral:rRNA from 1 species
AAUCAGGGUUAGUCGGGUCCUAAGGUGUAACCCGAGAGGGGCAACCGAUGGAAAGCUGGUUAAUAUUCCAGCACCUGCUUAUACUGCGAUGGGGUGACGAAGGUGUGAAAGUACCGCGUGGUUACGGAAUAUCACGUUAAAGGGUGUAGAUGUUGAGAGGGUAGGCAAAUCCGCCCUUGAAUCGAACCGGAUAGUACGCAAAGUCUUCGGACUGAGUGAUAGUGUACCUAAUCAAACUUCCAAGAAAAACCUCUAAGCUUCAGGUAUAAGCAGCCCGUACCGUAAACCGACACAGGUAGACGAGGAGAGUAUCCUCAGGCGCUCGAGUGAGUCACGGCUAAGGAACUCGGCAAAAUGGACCCGUAACUUCGGGAGAAGGGUCGCCCCAGCAAUGGGGCCGCAGUGAAAAGUAUCAGGCGACUGUUUAACAAAAACACAGGGCUCUGCAAAAUCGAAAGAUGAAGUAUAGGGCCUGACACCUGCCCGGUGCUGGAAGGUUAAGGAAGGUUGUUAGCCGCAAGGCAAAGCUUCCGACUGAAGCCCCAGUAAACGGCGGCCGUAACUAUAACGGUCCUAAGGUAGCGAAAUUCCUUGUCGGGUAAGUUCCGACCUGCACGAAUGGUGUAACGAUCUGAUAACUGUCUCAGCCGUGAGCUCGGUGAAAUUGUAGUCCCGGUGAAGAUGCCGGGUACCCGUAACGGGACGGAAAGACCCCGUGAACCUUCACUACAACUUUGCAUUGACUUUGAGUAAACGAUGUGUAGGAUAGGUGGGAGACUUUGAAGCGGGCACGCUAGUGUUCGUGGAGUCAACGUUGAAAUACCACCCUUUGUUUACUUAGAGCCUAACCCGCUAAGCGGAGAAAGUGCAUGGUGGGUAGUUUGACUGGGGUGGUCGCCUCCAAAAGAGUAACGGAGGCUUCCAAAGGUACCCUCAGCACGCUUGGUAACCGUGCGCAGAGUGUAUUAGCAUAAGGGUGCUUGACUGUGAGACCGACGGGUCGAGCAGGUACGAAAGUAGGGUAAAGUGAUCCGGUGGUUCUGCAUGGAAGGGCCAUCGCUCAAAGGAUAAAAGGUACUCCGGGGAUAACAGGCUGAUCUCCCCCAAGAGCUCAUAUCGACGGGGAGGUUUGGCACCUCGAUGUCGGCUCGUCACAUCCUGGGGCUGGAGAAGGUCCCAAGGGUUGGGCUGUUCGCCCAUUAAAGUGGCACGCGAGCUGGGUUCAGAACGUCGCAAGACAGUUCGGUCCCUAUCUGUUAUGGGCGUUUGAGAUUUGAGAAGAUCUGUUUCUAGUACGAGAGGACCGGAAUGGACUGACCUCUAGUGUACCAGUUAUGUCGCCAGAUGUACCGCUGGGUAGCUACGUUGGGAAUGGAUAAGCGCUGAAAGCAUCUAAGCACGAAACCAACUUCAAGAUGAGAUCUCAUAGGGUCGUCGAAGACUACGACGUUGAUAGGUCAUAGGUGUAAAGGUGGUAACAUCAAAGCCGAGUGAUACUAAUAACCCAUCAACUUUUUA